AGUGGCGGUCAUAUUAUGGCGGGCAUAGAAGAAGAAGAAGAAGAGAACAUGGCUGCUUGGCUGCUUGGAAUCAAGAACCUUAAAAUUCGGCCUUACUACCUUCCUUCUCUUGGUCCUCAUGAUGUUAAAGUUCGGAUAAAGGCUCUUGGUAUCUGCGGAAGUGAUGUUCAUCACUUCAAGACAAUGAGAUGCGCAAAUUUUAUUGUCAAAAAGCCAAUGGUCAUAGGACAUGAAUGUGCUGGGGUCAUAGAGGAAGUUGGGAGUGAAGUGAAAACUCUAGCAGUGGGAGACCGUGUGGCAUUGGAGCCUGGAAUCAGUUGCCGGCGAUGCAAUCUCUGCAAAGAUGGUCGCUAUAAUCUAUGUCCUGAAAUGAAGUUCUUUGGAUCUCCGCCAACUAAUGGUGCUCUUGCCAAUAAGGUAGUGCAUCCUGCAAAUCUAUGUUUCAAACUACCUGAAAAUGUGAGUUUGGAGGAAGGAGCAAUGUGUGAACCCCUCAGUGUUGGAGUCCAUGCUUGUCGCCGUGCAAAAAUUGGUCCUGAUACAAACGUAUUGAUCAUGGGAGCAGGACCCAUAGGCCUCAUCACCUUGUUGGCUGCUCAUGCAUUUGGUGCUCCUAGAGUUAUGCUUAUUGAUGUUGAUGGUCAUCGUUUAUCCAUUGCAAAGAAACUUGGUGCAGAUGAAAUUCUUCAAGUCUCAACAAACAUUGAGGAUGUUAGUGAAGAAGUACAAAAGAUACAAAGUGCUAUGAGCUCAGGCAUUGAUGUGAGCUUUGACUGUGUUGGGUAUGCCAAAACCAUGUCUACAGCUCUGAAUGCCACACGUUCAGGUGGCAAAGUUUGCCUUAUUGGGUUAGCCUUGAGUGAGAUGACUGUCCCUCUCACUCCAGCUGCUGCAAGGGAGGUUGAUAUUAUUGGCAUAUUUCGAUAUAGGAACACAUGGCCACUCUGCAUUGAAUUAUUGAGGACUGGUAAGAUUGAU
rnacentral:misc_RNA from 1 species